GAGUUUGAUCUUGGCUCAGAGCGAACGCUGGCGGCAGGCCUAACACAUGCAAGUCGAACGAACUCUUCGGAGUUAGUGGCGGACGGGUGAGUAACACGUGGGAACGUGCCUUUUGGUUCGGAAUAACUCAGGGAAACUUGUGCUAAUACCGAAUGUGCCCUUCGGGGGAAAGAUUUAUCGCCAUUAGAGCGGCCCGCGUCUGAUUAGCUAGUUGGUGAGGUAAAGGCUCACCAAGGCGACGAUCAGUAGCUGGUCUGAGAGGAUGAUCAGCCACAUUGGGACUGAGACACGGGCCCAAACUCCUACGGGAGGCAGCAGUGGGGAAUCUGCGCAAUGGGCGAAAGCCUGACGCAGCCAUGCCGCGU
rnacentral:rRNA from 1 species